rnacentral:rRNA from 1 species
UGGGGAAUUUUGGACAAUGGGCGAAAGCCUGAUCCAGCAAUGCCGCGUGUGUGAAGAAGGCCUUCGGGUUGUAAAGCACUUUUGUCCGGAAAGAAAUCCUUGGCUCUAAUACAGUCGGGGGAUGACGGUACCGGAAGAAUAAGCACCGGCUAACUACGUGCCAGCAGCCGCGGUAAUACGUAGGGUGCAAGCGUUAAUCGGAAUUACUGGGCGUAAAGCGUGCGCAGGCGGUUUGCUAAGACCGAUGUGAAAUCCCCGGGCUCAACCUGGGAACUGCAUUGGUGACUGGCAGGCUAGAGUAUGGCAGAGGGGGGUAGAAUUCCACGUGUAGCAGUGAAAUGCGUAGAGAUGUGGAGGAAUACCGAUGGCGAAGGCAGCCCCCUGGGCCAAUACUGACGCUCAUGCACGAAAGCGUGGGGGAGCAAAACAGGAUUAGAUACCCUGGUAGUCCACGCCCUAAAACGAUGUCAACUAGUUGUUGGGGAUUCAUUUCCUUAGUAACGUAGCUAACGCGUGAAGUUGACCGCCUGGGGAGUACGGUCGCAAGAUUAAAACUCAAAUGAAUUGACGGGG